rnacentral:rRNA from 1 species
GUGCCAGCAGCCGCGGUAAUACCGGCAGCCCGAGUGAUGGCCGCUAUUAUUGGGCCUAAAGCGUCCGUAGCUGGCCGAACAAGUCCGUCGGGAAAUCCACGAGCUCAACAGGUGGGCGACCGGCGGAAACUGCACGGCUUGGGGCCGGAGGGCUCGAGGGGUACGUCCGGGGUAGGAGUGAAAUCCUGUAAUCCUGGACGGACCGCCGGUGGCGAAAGCGCCUCGGGAAGACGGACCCGACAGUGAGGGACGAAAGCUGGGAUCUCGAACCGGAUUAGAAACCCCGGUAGUCC